CUUGCUCCACCGGAAAAAGAGGAGUGGCGAACGGGUGAGUAACACGUGGGUAACCUGCCCAUCAGAAGGGGAUAACACUUGGAAACAGGUGCUAAUACCGUAUAACAAUCAAAACCGCAUGGUUUUGAUUUGAAAGGCGCUUUCGGGUGUCGCUGAUGGAUGGACCCGCGGUGCAUUAGCUAGUUGGUGAGGUAACGGCUCACCAAGGCCACGAUGCAUAGCCGACCUGAGAGGGUGAUCGGCCACAUUGGGACUGAGACACGGCCCAAACUCCUACGGGAGGCAGCAGUAGGGAAUCUUCGGCAAUGGACGAAAGUCUGACCGAGCAACGCCGCGUGAGUGAAGAAGGUUUUCGGAUCGUAAAACUCUGUUGUUAGAGAAGAACAAGGAUGAGAGUAACUGUUCAUCCCUUGACGGUAUCUAACCAGAAAGCCACGGCUAACUACGUGCCAGCAGCCGCGGUAAUACGUAGGUGGCAAGCGUUGUCCGGAUUUAUUGGGCGUAAAGCGAGCGCAGGCGGUUUCUUAAGUCUGAUGUGAAAGCCCCCGGCUCAACCGGGGAGGGUCAUUGGAAACUGGGAGACUUGAGUGCAGAAGAGGAGAGUGGAAUUCCAUGUGUAGCGGUGAAAUGCGUAGAUAUAUGGAGGAACACCAGUGGCGAAGGCGGCUCUCUGGUCUGUAACUGACGCUGAGGCUCGAAAGCGUGGGGAGCAAACAGGAUUAGAUACCCUGGUAGUCCACGCCGUAAACGAUGAGUGCUAAGUGUUGGAGGGUUUCCGCCCUUCAGUGCUGCAGCUAACGCAUUAAGCACUCCGCCUGGGGAGUACGACCGCAAGGUUGAAACUCAAAGGAAUUGACGGGGGGCCCGCACAAGCGGUGGAGCAUGUGGUUUAAUUCGAAGCAACGCGAAGAACCUUACCAGGUCUUG
rnacentral:rRNA from 1 species